rnacentral:rRNA from 1 species
UACGGAGGGUGCAAGCGUUGUUCGGAAUCAUUGGGCGUAAAGCGCGUGUAGGCGGCUUGGCAAGUCAGUUGUGAAAGCCCGGGGCCCAACCCCGGAAUUGCAUCUGAAACUGCCUGGCUAGAGUCCCGGAGAGGAAGGCAGAAUUCCCGGUGUAGGGGUGAAAUCCGUAGAUAUCGGGAGGAAUACCAGCGGCGAUGGCGGCCUUCUGGACGGUGACUGACGCUGAGACGCGAAAGCGUGGGGAGCAAACAGG